rnacentral:miRNA from 1 species
CCCGGGUGUGGACGUGGUCCCG